GUCACGAUAGCUCAAAUGGUAGAGCGCCGGGGUAUGAAGCCAGAGGUCGUGGGUUCGAGUCCCGCUCAUGACA